UACGUAGGGUGCAAGCGUUAAUCGGAAUUACUGGGCGUAAAGCGUGCGCAGGCGGUGAUGUAAGACAGAUGUGAAAUCCCCGGGCUCAACCUGGGAACUGCAUUUGUGACUGCAUGGCUAGAGUACGGCAGAGGGGGAUGGAAUUCCGCGUGUAGCAGUGAAAUGCGUAGAUAUGCGGAGGAACACCGAUGGCGAAGGCAAUCCCCUGGGCCUGUACUGACGCUCAUGCACGAAAGCGUGGGGAGCAAACAGG
rnacentral:rRNA from 1 species